CUGAGUAAAGUGGCGUACGGGUGAGUAACACGUGGAUCAUCUACCCUCUUGUGGGGAAUACCGCUGGGAAACCGGCGACAAUACCGCAUAAGCUCGAGAGAGGAAAGCCGAAAGGCGCUGGAGGAGGAGUCCGCGGUCGAUUAGUUAGUUGGCAGGGUAAAAGCCUACCAAGACUGUGAUCGAUAGCCGGCCUGAGAGGGCACACGGCCACACUGGCACUGAAACACGGGCCAGACUCCUACGGGAGGCAGCAGUGGGGAAUCUUGCACAAUGGGGGAAACCCUGAUGCAGCGACGCCGCGUGAGUGAUGAAGCCCUUCGGGGCGUAAAGCUCUUUCGGCAGGGACGAUUAUGACGGUACCUGCAGAAGCAGCUGCGGCUAACUACGUGCCAGCAGCCGCGGUAAUACGUAGGCAGCAAGCGUUGUUCGGAGUUACUGGGCGUAAAGGGUGCGUAGGCGGCUUUUUAAGUUUGGUGUGAAAUCUCCUGGCUUAACCGGGAGGGUGCGCCGAAUACUGAGAAGCUAGAGUACGGGAGAGGAAAGUGGAAUUCCUGGUGUAGCGGUGAAAUGCGUAGAUAUCAGGAGGAACACCUGUGGUGUAGACGGCUUUCUGGACCGUAACUGACGCUGAGGCACGAAAGCGUGGGUAGCAAACAGGAUUAGAUACCCUGGUAGUCCACGCCCUAAACGAUGCAUAUUUUGGUGUGGGCCAUUCAUUUGGUCUGUGCCGAAGCUAACGCGUUUAAUAUGCCGCCUGGGGAGUACAGUCGCAAGGCUGAAACUCAAAGGAAUUGA
rnacentral:rRNA from 1 species